GUAAGCAGAACUGGCGCUGUGGGAUGAACCGAACGUUGAGUUACGGCGCCUGAUUAUAGACGCUCAUCAGAUACCACAAAAGGUGUUGGUUGCUAUAGACAGCAGGACGGUGGCCAUGGAAGUCGGAACCCGCUAAGGAGUGUGUAACAACUCACCUGCCGAAGCAACUAGCCCUGAAAAUGGAUGGCGCUAGAGCGUUUANCCUAUACUCAACCGUUGAAGCACAUGCGGCGGUAAGCAAUUGCCGUUCUUUUAUGCUUUUAUGGCAUACGCAUGCUAGUCAAGCUUCAACGAGUAGGAGGGUCGCGGCGAUAUGCUUUGAAGGCUUUGCGGCGUGAGCCGGGCUGGAGCUGUCGUCGGUGCAGAUCUUGGUGGUAGUAGCAAAUACUCAAGCGAGAACCUUGAGGACUGAAGUGGAGAAGCUUCCAUGUGAACAGCAGUUGAACAUGGGUCAGUCGAUCCUAAGACAUCGGCGAAGGCCGUUCAGAAGCGGUGUCGGUUAUGUGGCAGUGUGCUGUUUCGGCAGCAGUACAUUGUCCGGCUAUGAGCGCUCGUUCGUUUAUAGUCGCCGCACCUGUCGAAAGGGAAUUGGAUUAAUAUUUCCAAACCUAACAGCGGAGAUUGGUUGUUCAUUUGGCUGCACGGGCCUUGUGCUCGCUGUAGUCGGGGCAACGCGCUGCGGUAACGCAAACGAACUCGAACACGCUGACUGGAGUCCCGGGAAGAGUUAUCUUUUCUUCAUAAGGAGUCGACUCCAUGGAAUUGGUUCAGCCAGAGAUAUGGAGAUGGCGUCCGAAAAGCAUUGCGCUUCUUGCAAUGUCCGGUGCGCUUCAAGCGGCCCAUGAAAAUUCGAGGGAGAGAAUGAUUUUCGUGUUAAAUCGUACCCAUAUCCGCAGCAGGU
rnacentral:rRNA from 1 species